UAGCUCAGGUUUCUCUUCAUUCACGCAGAAAUCUUUCACCUUUUACUAAAGAUAUCUGUGGAGAAGAACAUUGAUGAGUUCAACUUAUUUCUAUGGCCUUUGCUAUCGCGGGU
ensembl:snRNA U5 U5 spliceosomal RNA